rnacentral:rRNA from 1 species
GACGAACGCUGGCGGCGUGCUUAACACAUGCAAGUCGAGCGGUAAGGCCUUUCGGGGUACACGAGCGGCGAACGGGUGAGUAACACGUGGGUGAUCUGCCCUGCACUUCGGGAUAAGCCUGGGAAACUGGGUCUAAUACCGGAUAUGACCUCCUAUCGCAUGGUGGGUGGUGGAAAGAUUUAUCGGUGCAGGAUGGGCCCGCGGCCUAUCAGCUUGUUGGUGGGGUAAUGGCCUACCAAGGCGACGACGGGUAGCCGACCUGAGAGGGUGACCGGCCACACUGGGACUGAGACACGGACCAGAAUCCUACGGGAGGCAGCAGUGGGGAAUAUUGCACAAUGGGCGAAAGCCUGAUGCAGCGACGCCGCGUGAGGGAUGACGGCCUUCGGGUUGUAAACCUCUUUCAGCAGGGACGAAGCGCAAGUGACGGUACCUGCAGAAGAAGCACCGGCUAACUAUGUG